UUGGAGCUCCUUCGCCGGCGAGUUCUCCCCGCCGCUGCUUGGAGCUCCCUCGCCGGUGAAUUCUCCCGCCACUACUUCUCCAUAGCUAAGAUCUGUCCGGACCCUGAGACGCCGCCGUCGUCCCGUGGAGCGGAGCCACACGUUGUCCUUCCUUCGCCCCGCCCUUCUCGGUCGCGGCUGGUUGCCUGUUCCCUCUCCGCGCCAUACGGCCAUACCCAGAGCAAGUAG
rnacentral:misc_RNA from 1 species